rnacentral:ncRNA from 1 species
CAUUAUACAAGGAAAGUAGCUUUAAAAAUUACUUUUACAGAGAACUCCUAUUUGGUGAGAGGGAGAGAGGAAUAUUAAAGUGAAAAUGGCCUUGGAGCUCCGUACCGAAAUUCAUAUGUUAGGCUGCGGCGGGUUUCUCACGUUAAAGGGAUAGAGUAUAAUCAUAGCCAUUUUUGUGACGUACUUGAAGAGGCUUAUAUCGCGAGGUAUAGGUAAAAUAGGAUGGUAACACGAAGGUUAACUCUCGUUCCUAAG